ensembl:lncRNA
AGACUACGAAAAACACAACUUUGCACAAAAGUCAUCGCGAUCUUACACAAAAAUUAUUUCUGUGAAUAUAUCUGUCUAGUCACUGCUGGUCCAACCUUUGACUGAUGUCACUUUUGUUAUUGAUCCUUGUAUUCAAAGAUGAUUAUCUCAAAAUAAUCAUGUAAUGUUUCUCAUUUUUUCUUUUAAAACUUCGGUCUUUUCCCUAUCUCCCUGAAUAUAGUUUACUAUGAAUAUAGUUUACUAUGGCACCUGUAUCUCAUUGCAAUGCUCAUUCCAAAUAAAUAUUAUUUUCUUUCUUCUUCCUUCUUUGAAUUUCCUUUAUUUAUUCUCAGGCAGCUUAUUUUCCUACUCUCAUUUUCAAUUUGUAGAGUUCAGUGUGACUGUUCUUCCACCUUAACAUAAUCCGCCAGCAAGCUACCCUGGCAUAAAUUCAAUUACUGCUACAUUGCUAUGUUCAAAAAUAUAUAUUUAGCUCCGCAUUAUCAUUCACACUUCUAAAUGGCCUGCUGAUUUUUGAAAAAUAUUUUCAUUGCAUGUUUUGAUUCUUUACUGUCAUUUCAAAUUUAAUGAGAUUAAAACAAGUCAUCAAAUUUUCCAAGUUCCUCUCCCUCAUGCUUUAAUUGUUCAAGAUUAUGCCACCAUUUUGUCAGUCAGAUCAGGUUAAAAUUUUGAAUUCAACGUCUCCUUUGCCUAUACUUAGUCUCAUCAAUACUUUCUGCUAAAUAUCUUCUAUUUACAUCUCUCUAUAUUCACAUUUCUACCAUACAGCUCUCCAGCUCACACUGAAUUACAGCAACAGCCUCUCAGCUGAUUCCCCCCUGUCUUUAACUUUAUCGUUCAGUGGUUUCUUAUAAUGGAGUGAGAUCCGUUUAUUCUAAAUCCCGAGUUUAUCAUACUUAAACCCUUGAUUAAGACUUACAAUUGCCCAGUAUGAUGGCUCAUGCUUGGAGUCUCAACACUUUAGGAGACUGAGGCAGAGGAUCGCUUGAGGCCAAGAGUUUGAGAACAUCCUGGGCAACAUAGUGAGACCCUGUAAAACACAAACAAAAACACUGUUAGUCCCAGCUACUCAGGAGGGUGAACGGGGAAUCACUUGAGCACAGGAGCUAAAGACUGCUGUGAACUAUGAUCAUGCCACUGCCCUCCAGUCUCGGUAAUAGAACAAGUCCCAGUAGCAAAAAAAAAAAAAAAAAAAAUUUAAAAUAGAUUUUAUUGCUUACCUCAUGAAACCUAAAUUUCAUGCCUUGUUUCAAGGGUUUAAGAAAUUUAAACGAGUUUAUCUUUACUAAUCAUUGUCAUUAUUCAAUAUCUCCUCAAGUAGACAAAAUUUUUAGCUAUUGUAACUUGUAUUUGACUUUUAUAUGAGUAGCCAAUAAAUAACUUCUUGAUUUAUUUUUUAACAGCUAAUAUAUUUUAAAAUGAUUGGACUUGCAUUAGGAAACUCAAAGCUGUUUCUAUUUGAGCAAUAAAAACACAAUAAUUUUAAAAGCUGUAGCUGUUCUAAAGAUGCUUUACAUGGAAAAACAUAUCAUUCAUCAAUUUAUUCAACAGAUUGGUUAAAUAAGCCAAGUUCUAAGAAUUCUGCUAAGAGCUAGAAAUACUAGGAUGAAUGAG